AGUGUGCUCACUUCUGGGCUUUUCCCAGGGCCCUUUGCACUGUGGUGGAGCUGAAGAACCUCACAGAUGAGACAGAGCCUUUUCCAGCUGUGCAACAAAACAUUUGUGAAUAUCCAGGAAUGAGGAUCCAUCCAGGAACGAGGAUCCUUAGAGAUGGCAUUGACAUGUACCAGGCUUACUUGAAAACCCUUGUAUUAUCUGCAGGAAGGAGAAAAGGAAGGUUCCUCCUGAGGGAACAGGAGACAGCAGGGCUCCUCAGGGACCUGUGCUUAGGGUGAGUGUCUGGAGAAUGUGGGCAGGAGUCUCAUCCCAGUGCCCUCCGUGCCUGGAGCUAAGCUAGAGGAGUUCAAACCUAUGUCCCAUGUGGGGCUGUGCUGACCACCCUGUUACAGGUACGGAGGGACAAAGGGAGGAGGCGUGUGCCUGUUUCAAAGGAACACAACA